rnacentral:rRNA from 1 species
CAGCCCUUGACAUCCCGAUCGCGGAUUACGGAGACGUUUUCCUUCAGUUCGGCUGGAUCGGAGACAGGUGCUGCAUGGCUGUCGUCAGCUCGUGUCGUGAGAUGUUGGGUUAAGUCCCGCAACGAGCGCAACCCUCGCCCUUAGUUGCCAUCAUUUAGUUGGGCACUCUAAGGGGACUGCCGGUGAUAAGCCGGAGGAAGGUGGGGAUGACGUCAAGUCUUCAUGGCCCUUACGGGCUGGGCUACACACGUGCUACAAUGGCGGUGACAGAGGGUUGCUAGGCUGCGAAGUCAUGCUAAUCCCUAAAAGCCGUCUCAGUUCGGAUUGCACUCUGCAACUCGGGUGCAUGAAGUCGGAAUCGCUAGUAAUCGCAGAUCAGCACGCUGCGGUGAAUA